GACGAACGCUGGCGGCGUGCUUAACACAUGCAAGUCGAACGGAAAGGCCCUGCUUUUGUGGGGUGCUCGAGUGGCGAACGGGUGAGUAACACGUGAGUAACCUGCCCUUGACUUUGGGAUAACUUCAGGAAACUGGGGCUAAUACCGGAUAGGAGCUCCUGCUGCAUGGUGGGGGUUGGAAAGUUUCGGCGGUUGGGGAUGGACUCGCGGCUUAACAGCUUGUUGGUGGGGUAGUGGCUUACCAAGGCUUUGACGGGUAGCCGGCCUGAGAAGGUGACCGGACGCUUCGGGACAAAGCUGGGUCGCCAGCUACAUCGGUAGAAAUCAAUGCAGCUUUAUCCACAAGGGGCGGAAGCUCUUUACACGCACGAGGCGGGCAAGAAACAGGCGUACGAGUUAUCAAACGGUUUCGCUCAUGAACAAACGAGCGUGACGCUAAUGGGUAAAAAGGCACCGGCUCACUACGUG
rnacentral:rRNA from 1 species